rnacentral:rRNA from 1 species
GUGGGGAAUUUUGGACAAUGGGCGCAAGCCUGAUCCAGCAAUGCCGCGUGCAGGAAGAAGGCCUUCGGGUUGUAAACUGCUUUUGUACGGAACGAAAAGGCUCUGGCUAAUACCUGGAGCUCAUGACGGUACCGUAAGAAUAAGCACCGGCUAACUACGUGCCAGCAGCCGCGGUAAUACGUAGGGUGCGAGCGUUAAUCGGAAUUACUGGGCGUAAAGCGUGCGCAGGCGGUUCUGUAAGACAGGCGUGAAAUCCCCGGGCUCAACCUGGGAAUUGCGCUUGUGACUGCAGCGCUGGAGUGCGGCAGAGGGGGAUGGAAUUCCGCGUGUAGCAGUGAAAUGCGUAGAUAUGCGGAGGAACACCGAUGGCGAAGGCAAUCCCCUGGGCCUGCACUGACGCUCAUGCACGAAAGCGUGGGGAGCAAACAGGAUUAGAAACCCGGGUAGUCC